GAUUAACGCUGGCGGCGUGCAUAACACAUGCAAGUCGAACGAUGAAACUCAUUAGAUUUCUUCGGAAUGAAAAUGAAUGGAUUAGUGGCGAACGGGGGAGUAACGCGUGAGUAACCUGCCUUACACAAGGGGAUAGCCUCUGGAAACGGAGAAUAAUACCCUAUGAAACCAGACAAUCGCAUGAUAAUCUGGUCAAAAUGUUUAGUGGUGUAAGAUGGACUUGCGUCUGAUUAGCUAGUUGGUGAGAUAAAAGCUCACCAAGGCAACGAUCAGUAGCCGGCUUGAGAGAGUGUACGGCCACAUUGGGACUGAGACACGGCCCAGACUCCUACGGGAGGCAGCAGUGGGGAAUUUUGCACAAUGGGGGAAACCCUGAUGCAGCGACGCCGCGUGAUUUAGAAGGCCUUCGGGUUGUAAAAAUCUUUUGUAUAGGAAGAAAAUGACAGUACUAUACGAAUAAGGUCCGGCUAAUUACGUG
rnacentral:rRNA from 1 species